rnacentral:tRNA from 1 species
UCCUUUCUAGGUUAAGUUUUUAAACUAUUGGUUUGUGGUGCCGGACAUCUGUAUUUAUUGUGGGAA